rnacentral:rRNA from 1 species
GACGAACGCUGGCGGCGUGCCUAAUACAUGCAAGUCGAGCGAAUCUCAGGGAGCUUGCUCCCUGAGAUUAGCGGCGGACGGGUGAGUAACACGUGGGUAACCUGCCUGUAAGACUGGGAUAACUUCGGGAAACCGGAGCUAAUACCGGAUACUUUCUUUUCUCGCAUGAGGGAAGAUGGAGAGAUGGUUCUGCUAUCACUUACAGAUGGACCCGCGGCGCAUUAGCUAGUUGGUGAGGUAACGGCUCACCAAGGCAACGAUGCGUAGCCGACCUGGGAGGGUGAUCGGCCACACUGGGACUGAGACACGGCCCAGACUCCUACGGGAGGCAGCAGUAGGGAAUCUUCCGCAAUGGACGAAAGUCUGACGGAGCAACGCCGCGUGAGCGAAGAAGGCCUUCGGGUCGUAAAGCUCUGUUGUUAGGGAAGAACAAGUACGAGAGUAACUGCUCGUACCUUGACGGUACCUAACCAGAAAGCCACGGCUAACUACGUGCCAGCAGCCGCCGUAACAC